rnacentral:lncRNA from 1 species
UAAUAUAUGCAAACUUCUUCCUACUGAAAGCAUCUGUAAAUUAUAAACCACUUAACAUUUAUCAUCUGAAAAAUUGACAGGAACGGUGCUCUAACCCCUGAGCGGCAAAAUCAACCACACUCAGCUUUAAAUCAUUGCUGCUCUCGAUUCUUGUGCUAAUACAUUGGUGGUACAGCAGUUUUGUCUCGUUCAUAUUUGCUAAGACAGUGUCUGGAAAAAUAAACCUUUCUCUCAUUGUUUUUUUGUUGAAUGACAUAUUUGCUCUUGAAUUUUAUAGGCAGUAUGAGUUCAGACUGUUCUCAGGCUGAAAUGAUCAGUGACUGGCAUUAUUUUUACCUCCCAUGGUGACUUUGAAAAUGCCUAGUAAUGACAGUAAUAACACAGAAUAGUCCAUUAAAGAUGCAGCUUCCCACCCCACUUAUUGUCAGCUCUCAGAGAUGCAUCACACAUUGUUGUAGCAUUGGUGUGUGUGUGUAAAAAGAAUAAUAGAGAGCAAAAUAAGUUAAAUUACAAACUUUAAAGCGUCGGGAGUCGAUCAUCAAAUGUGACUGAGAAUCCUAGAGGUGGGAACAAUACUGUUCUUAAUUGUUCAAGUUCUACUCCUCUUUUACCUUGUAAAUGGAAUACUUCAGUAGUAGAUACAGAACUCACAAUCUCUGCUGAGUGUGUUGUAAACAAUACCAAAGAUUCAUGUGCUAAUUAGUGAAAAUGCUCUAUGAUCUGAAUCGGUCUGUGUGCUAUGUUAAUAUAUCCCUAUUGCAGAAUUAGUUCUUUCAAUCUAUGGUGGGUUUUUUUCCCCUAACUUCAAGGCUGAAGGGCCCACACCACUCUACCAACAAAUACUUCAGUUUGUAUAAUAGUCUGAUUAUGAAAAAGAGACAACCCAUGAGGCCCAAUUAAAAUCACAGCCAAGUAGUGCCAAGAACAUAUCAGGCUGAAUAUUAACACUUAAUAUGACAGAACUCACUAAUGUAUAUCAUAAGCUGGCUUUCAAAAGAAACUAAGUUAAGAAAUGAAACUUUCUCCUUUAUACUGAAUUCAAGUGAGGAACAUGCUGUUUCCUGGAGAGAUCAAUCAUUAAAAAUGGAAUAAGAUGACAAGGAAAAAGGAAAACAAAGGCCUCAGAACAUUUCAAAUUGGUCAUAAUUUAAAAUACAAUUUUUGUUAGAAUUAUUUCUACCUUUUCACACAAGUAGCUUCUUGAGUCAAUAUUAGAUGUCAAUAAAGUAAUUCUCGUGUCUAUACUGUAAUUCUUAUGUGGAGACUUUUAAUUAUCUUCUUUCAGAAAUGUCAAGUGACACUAAAUUAUUCUGGCAUUUACUUAAUCAUCCAUUAUUUAAAAAAUCGGGAGUUGUGACAAUGUUCUCUAGUAGAACAAGAACCAGUUUCAGAAGUGUUCAUUGGGACAGAUGGGCAGGCUUAUUUGUCAACUUUGGGGAAAUUGUUUAAUAGCAGAUACGCCAGUAUUGUUGUUAAGGACAAUGGUAUGUUGAAGUGAUUUUUGGUAGCCAUGGAAUUCAAAACAUAUGUUAUAAAAAAAAAUCUAUUUAAAGUUUCUCAGAUACAUUUUGGUAUUGUGCUUGCCAGAGAGAAUACCCAGGACACCCCUUAUUCCAAAAUUAGUGUCUGCGUCAGUGGGGCUACUGUCAAAACGUUAUUAAUGUAACUGCACCAAUGCAGGGUUUUCAUUUCUAUAUAACUUCAACAUAAAUUGUUUAUUGAUCAUCUAUUAAAGAGUAUAUAUACAAGGAUAUGAGAUGUAAUAAAUUAAAUAUAAGUCUUCUAUCCAUAAGUGUGUAUUUAGUUUACUUACAAGUUAAGAGGUGGCAAAGCUAUGUUGUAAUGAAAACCACUGAGUUUAUAAUAAAUUAUAUAGCUCUUAAAAUU